UGCAGACCCAAAACCUUGGCAGAACGGUAAACAGAGAAGGCACGGAGUGGGGACUGGGGAGAGAGGCGAUGAAUAUAUGGAGAAAGAAACAGAAAAAGAGAGAGGCAAUGAAGACACGGAGAAAGAAACAGAAAAAGAGAAAGGCGAUCCCGAGACACGGAGAGAGAAGAGAAUGCCUCUCUGUUUCUGACAGAACGCCUCUCUGUUUCUCUCACUAAGAUCAGAGUAAAAGUCCCCUCUGCCCACAAACAACGCCUCCGAUGGGUUCUAUUCUUUCUCUGAUUUUUUUUAGAGAUGAAGUGGAAUCUUUCCACAAUCUAGAGUCUCUAAUUUCAUCAAAUCAAGUUGGUUAACUCAGAAUGGUGUCUCCAUUACGUGGGCAGCAACAAAUUAUAUGGUUUCCCCAUUAUUUGAAGUUUAUGAAGACCUUUAACAUGUAGACCAGUUGAACCAAAUUAUCAGAAAAUGGGAUGUGCUUAGGUGAAGACAUUUGAUUGGUUAGCAUCUAAAUGUUUGAUCAUUCUGCUAUGGACACAUCAGGCCUAGACUAUAGGAUUUGAGUUGGCAGAUAAUACUUGGGCUCUAUAAACCAUAUCUUUUGUUUAUUUUUCCAUAAGGAUUAUGUCAAAUAAGAACAAAUUACUAUAUUUGCUAGAUGUUUAAUGAAAGGCCUCCAAUUUUAUUUUUAAUUCUCAUUUAAUCUAUCUUCCUUUUUUUCUAUACAGAUGAAAAUCUCCUGCGGUGGAGCUUAAUGCUCUAUAAAACAUUGAAAGAGAAUCACAAGUAGCAUAUCCAAUUAGUACUUUCCUAAGUCCAACAUGUUCUUUUGAUUUUUUUUUUUUUUUUUUUUUUAGCUCUUAGUGCUGUCUUUAUUUAACUUCAAGUGAAUUGGUGCUUCCUUUUUGUUUUAUUGAAGACAUUUGCAAUUUUUGGAGUUGAGGAUAAAUGUUAUAAUGAGUCAUUGCCAUUUUCAUGAAACUUAUGCCAUUUUGGGUAUUUGGGCUAGGUUGGUUUUGGUUAUCUAUCUAUUAUUGAUGAGGCCAAGGGCAAUGGCUAUACAAUAUGACACUUAAAUUUAUUUGGUUAAAUAACUCACUUUUUCCUCUUUUACGAAUUACCUACAAUGAGUCGGGGAAAGGGUAUUUCUAAAUUUAAGCUAAGUAUAUGGAUGGAGUAUCUAAUGUAGAAAAUAUUUGUAUACAAAUCCUUGGAUUAAUUUACAAAAAAGUUACUUUGUAAUUUCUAUAUCUUAAAUUAUGCUUGGUUUAUGGCUUCGAGAUGAAGCUGAAGUUCUUUGA